CUGUAGACCAGGCUGGCCUUGAACUCACAGAGACCCACCAACCUCUGCCUCCCUAGUACUGGGAUUAAAGGUGCGCACCCCCACUGCCCAGCUAUUCCCAUUGCUUCUUUUUGUGAGUGUAUGGAUAUGUAUAUGUAGAUGCGCUUGUCUGUGUUUGCAAAUGUGGAAGCCAAAGGUAGGGUAUUUUCCUCUGCCAUGCUCCAGCUGUUCUGUGGGGUUUGGUUUGGUUUUGUUUCUAAGCAAGAUCUCUCACUGAACCUGGAGUUUACCAUUUUCAGCUAGACUAGCCAGCAAGCCCUGAGGAUCUGGUCUCCAGUCCCCCAGUGCUGAGGUUUCUCCCCAGCUGGCUUUUAUGUGGGUACACUGGAUCCCAAGUCAAUUUCUCAUGCUUUCCCAGAAAGUGCUCAAAUCACUGGGCCACCUUCCCAGCCCCCUUGUUCCUUACUAUGAAUUACAAGGGAAGAAAAAAGUAGCCCACAGCCACUGCCAGAAGAAUUUAAGAUUGCCUAGCUAAGGCAAUCAGAGAUCUCUGAGAGACUGGCUGCUCUGUAGUUUACCAAAUAUAUUAACUGUGGGGCUCCCCUCCCCACAGCAAAACUGUAACUCCUCCCUGCCUGAAAGGAUAGCAAAGGAUUCUCUCUGCACCAUCCUAAGAAAGACUGCUGUAGUGCGUACGAAAAGACAUCCCCCAACAGACUGCUGCUGUGAGAACCAGCCUUCAGCAGCUCAAGAAUUGGAAGGGGAGCCACAGAGUCGGCGGACUAGUCACUCAAUUGACUCUUCUGUCUGAGGAAGUAAAACUUAAUUCUUUUGGGGCCCAAGAAAAAGUGAAAAUACACACAUCUUCAGGGUCUCUAUCAUCUCUCUAUUUUUCUUUUUCAGCUUAUAUAUCCCAGCAAAAUCAUUCAAGCAAUAUAAAAAUUACAGUGUGUUUGCAUUCUGUUUUUCAAGUGAACGAUUAUAAUGAAUACAGGUUAAAAAAAAUGUUCCCAUUUUCCUUACAUGAUGAAACAUUUCAUGUAUUAUAGGUGAAA